UACAGAGGGGGCAAGCGUUGUUCGGAAUUACUGGGCGUAAAGGGCGCGUAGGCGGCCUGUUAAGUCGAACGUGAAAUCCCCGGGCUCAACCCGGGAACUGCGUCCGAUACUGGCAGGCUUGAAUUCGGGAGAGGGAUGCGGAAUUCCAGGUGUAGCGGUGAAAUGCGUAGAUAUCUGGAGGAACACCGGUGGCGAAGGCGGCAUCCUGGACCGAGAUUGACGCUGAGGCGCGAAAGCUGGGGGGAGCGAAACAGG
rnacentral:rRNA from 1 species